rnacentral:pre_miRNA from 1 species
GGAAAGUUUCAAAGUAGAAGAAAAAUGAACAGUCGAGGACACGUCCUCGACUGUUCAUUUUUCUUCUACUUUGAAACAUCCAUCA